AUCUUCAAGUGGCUUAAUUUAUAUUAAGAUACUUUCAUUGCAAAGAAAUGGUAAUCGUCUCCUUAUUAAUGUACCAUUGUAUUUACAUGUCACUAACACGAAGAUACUUUAAAGACCAUGUACUAUGUAAAAAUUCUAAUUAGUACCACCAUACUUUUGUAUAUGCAUUCGGUACUAAUGACUUCCAUCCAUUUUCCAAACCACGUGCAUUGCAGUGAUAACCCGCUACUCCAAUAAUGAAAUAAUAAUAAAAAAAAAAUCUUGUGCUCUUUCGUUUUUAUAUUAGGGGUGUAACGUUACACAUAUUUUCAGAAUGGUGUUUCAUUUGAAACUUCUAGUUCUAUUUAUGUAAAUUUUAAUGAAUCAAUAUUGAUUCUUAAAUUCAGUUGAUUUUUUAGUCUAUGAUGUUUCAGUUGAUGCGUGAAUAAAACUUUGCUAGACAUUAUAGGCUAGCGCGCCUCCUGUCCAGUAAUCACAAUAUGCGCUGUAUUCUUAUAUCCUUAUAUUCGUUAAGAAUCAACAUUCUGAUGCUCUUUAAUGUGGCAUGACAGAUGGCUGUAGCCCCAGUUCAAAUGGCAGCAUGGAGUGAGUGAACAUGAUAAUUUCUUCCUCUUUACUACUAUUUAUAACAUAAAAUAAACAUGAAUGUUCAGUAUUUUAACCAUGAAAAGACUAAAAUAAAAGAGCUUAUAAACAUCGCCUUAAGAUACGUUUACCUCAGGUAGCCUAAUGCGACUUUAAUGAGCUAUUUUAUUUAAGUCUUUCUGUGGUUGAAGCGUACCAAACUAAAAACACCUGUACCGGAAAACCUUCUAUGAAUAUAUAUGUAACAUUACACCCCUAAUAUCAAAAGAGCACAAAUAUAUAUAGAACAAAUAUAUGCAGAUCAAAUAUGAAAUUAUUUAGUCAACAAAAACAUGUAAAGUAACCCAGAAUAUAUUUUAUAUUUUCAGUUCUUUAAAGUUGCUAACUUUUGCUUUGAUAACAGCUUUGCACAUUCCUGGCAUUCUCCUAAUAAGCAAUGAGUCACAUGGAAUAGUUUUUCAACAAUUUUGAAUAUUAGCUGCUUUUCCUUCACUCUCUUGUCCAACUCAUCCCAAACCACCUCAGUUGGAUUUAGAUCAGGUGAUUGUGGAGGCCAGAUCAAAUUAUGCAGCACUCCAUCACUCUUCUUCUUGGACAAAUAGCUCUUACAUAACCUAGAGGUGUGCUUGGGGUCAUGAUCCUGCAGGAAAACAAAUGAUGGCCCCACAAAGUGCAAACCUGCUGUGAUGUCGAUGUAAAAUGCUGUGGUACUCACGCUGGUUAAGUGUGCCUUCAAUUUUGUCACAAGCAACGCAUCACUCCUUCUCCAUGCUUCUCAGUGGGAGCUACAUGAACUGUCCAUUCACACAGUGAUAUACUGUAUGUGGUGUACUGUACUGUUGUGUAAAAAUUUCAAAUUUGCACUCAUCAGACCAAAGGACAGUUUUCCACUGAUGUAAUGUCCAUUUCUUGUGUUUCUUGGCCAAAGCAAGUCUCUUCUGCUUGUUCUUCCGAAAGUUAUGGUUCCUUUGCCGCAAUUCAACCAUGAAGGUCUGACUCACAAAGUCUCCUCUGAACAGAGGAUGUGUGCCACUUGAACUCCUAGUAGCAUUUAUGAGGGUUGUAAAGGUGCUCUCAAUGGGCGGCUUCUGUAGCUGAUAUUUCUAAUAAACCUAUCCUCUGCAGCAGAGGUAGCUCUUGGUCUUCCUUUCUUCAGACAGUCCUCAUGAGAGCCAGUUGCAUCAUAGCAUUUUCUGUUUUUGGCGACUGCAUUCGGGGUGAUAUUCAAAGUUCUUGAGGUUUUUCUGAUUGACUGAUCUUCAUUUCUUAAUGAUGGACUGUCUUUUCUCUUUACUUAUGGCAAUUGAGCAAGAAAUUAUACAAAUUAACUAUUGACAAGGCACACACAUGUGAAUUGAAAAGCAUUCAAGGUGACCACCUCAUGAAUCUGAUGAGAGAAUGCCAUGAGUGUGUCAAGCGGUCAUCAAAGCUAAAUGUAGUUACUUUCAACGAUCUAAAUUAUAAAACAUAUUCUGGGUUGUUUAAAUUUUUUUAUUAAUUCUUUGCAUGUUAUUUCAUAGUUUGGAUGUCUUCAGUAUUAAUGUACAAUGUUGAAUAUAAUAAAACUAAAGAAAAUCAACUAAA